rnacentral:rRNA from 1 species
CCUACGGGCGGCUGCAGUGGGGAAUAUUGCACAAUGGGCGCAAGCCUGAUGCAGCCAUGCCGCGUGUGUGAAGAAGGCCUUCGGGUUGUAAAGCACUUUCAGCGGGGAGGAAGGCGUUAAGGUUAAUAACCUUGUCGAUUGACGUUACCCGCAGAAGAAGCACCGGCUAACUCCGUGCCAGCAGCCGCGGUAAUACGAAGGGUGCAAGCGUUAAUCGGAAUUACUGGGCGUAAAGCGCACGCAGGCGGUCUGUCAAGUCGGAUGUGAAAUCCCCGGGCUCAACCUGGGAACUGCACUCGAAACUGGCAGGCUAGAGUCUUGUAGAGGGGGGUAGAAUUCCAGGUGUAGCGGUGAAAUGCGUAGAGAUCUGGAGGAAUACCGGUGGCGAAGGCGGCCCCCUGGACAAAGACUGACGCUCAGGUGCGAAAGCGUGGGGAGCAAACAGGAUUAGAUACCCCUGUAGUC